GACGAACGCUGGCGGCGUGCUUAACACAUGCAAGUCGAACGGGCCUGUCUUCUUUUUUGGGGGUGGGUGGGGGGGGGAAGGGGGGGGUAUACGGGGAGAAACCUGCCUUUCGGUCCGGGAAAACCGCUGGAAAGGGGGGCAAAACGGGGGUGGUCCGGUGGGUCCGCAGGGGCGGGUCGGGUUGGUUUCACUGUUUUUGGUGUUUCGGCGGGGGAGGGGCUCGCGGCCUAUCAGCUGGUUGGGGGGGUGAUGGCCUACCAGGGCGGUGACGGGUAGCCGGCCUGAGAGGGUGGGCGGCCACACUGGGACUGAGAUACGGCCCAGACUCCUGCGGGAGGCAGCAGUGGGGGGUAUUGCACAAUGGGCGGAAGCCUGAUGCAGCGACGUCGCGUGAGGGAUGGAGGCCUUCGGGUUGUGAACCUCUGUUUCCGGUGGUGAAGGCCCUGUCCGUGUGGUGGGGUUGACGGUAGCCGGGGAUGAAGCGCCGGCUAACUACGUG
rnacentral:rRNA from 1 species